UCCUUGUCUGGCCUGUAAAAACCUCUCCCAAUCCGUAGCCCUUGGGAGCAUCUCUGUACUUGGUAAAACGGAUGCUUCCCAAUUCAUGCAUGGCUAAUGAAGCCAAUCAGAUCUCCAAAUUUACUUGGGUGAAUUUUGUUUUGUAACAAAAGGAAAGACACCAAGAAAGCAACAUUACUACCUCAGAGACAGGACCAGGCCGUUCCUCAGCAACAGGCACGGUCUCCUCUGCCUGGUCCAUAGGGAGGACCUCGGUUACUGCGUUAAGGGAUAACAAGAAAGACACAGAGCAGAUGUCAGUCCAUUGGUGGUGCUGCUCAAGAAUGACUGAGGGAGGGAUGCUUGAUAUGGACAUGGGGCCAGAAAGUAUAGAAGCAGGUGGUUACCAAGCAUGACUGAACCACUGCUGUGGGCCAUCCUUGAUAACAUGGGUAUAAAAUGUGCAGUGCGAAUGGCCGUAUUUUUUUUUUUUUUUUUACGAAAGUUGACUCUGGCAAGUUCAGUGUAAGUGGGACACAUCCCCCGGGGAAACACACCACCCCCAUCCCACUGUCUGUCUCUGUUUCUCUCACAGACAUUCCCACUCAUUCACAAUUACAGUCUGUAGAGUCGCACAAAACAUCCCCAAGCCUUGUGCAGACAACCCCACAUCACAUAAAAGGAACAUGAUCCCGGAGCACGUGCAGGGGCUGAGAGGAAAUGUCUCUGCCACCAGCCUUGGAGCACCCUUUUGAUCAGGAACAUGAGGACGGGAAAGGAAGCUCCCCACCCUCCUGGCACCCAUGGCAGAACUUGUCUGCGUGGUCAAGUGUAGGUGACAGAGCUGUGUCCUGCCAGAUAGCCCCCAUCACGGAGGAACACCCAAGGCAGCAGCCUCGUGCUCUGUUCCCACCACAUGCUACCCCAGGACCAAAGGCUUUGGUGCUCUGCAGAGGCAAAGCCAGCAAGCCCUGGCCUAGGAAAGAUCAUCUUUAAGUAAGAAAGCGAGAAGAGCUGAUUAUCCGCACAGCACUCUCAAAACCCAAAGGCAUAGUACGUCUGCUACUGGGAAUUUAAAAUACGAGAACAAAAUGCUCCUCCGCACGUGUUUCCUUUGCCUUUCUGAUACCACGCUUCCCAUCCCCAGUCUCCAGAGCUGCAGGGGGAGCCCCGCUCCCGUUGGAUGUGGCCCGAGGUAGCUGCCUACCUGGACAGUCCUCCUCGUCACUGCUGCCGCUGAGAAAGAUCUCCACAACGCAGUCUUUAAAGACACAAACGCAAACAGGAAGGUUAUGAGAGAAAGGGGCUCCCGCUCUUCCUCCCCCCGUUGGGGCCACGCCGGCUCACAGCAUCGCCCUGCUCUGUCCCUGGGUCCUCAGACCUUCCCUGGGCUCCGUGGGGUCAUAGCCCUUCAACAAGACAUUGAUCACAGAUGCAAAGCUUCAGACGAGAGCGAGGAUGCCCCUUCACCUUGUCACUCGGCCCGUUUCCACCGGGCCGUUCUCGCUCUCACCUGCAGGACCAUCACCUGAAGUUCCAACUGUGGGGGGGAGGUUACCUUCGACGUGUUGACUGGUCCGAAGCCUAGACGGCUUCCAGUGAAAUGGGGAGUGACCACUCGGGGACGAUGGUGACCUUCUCUCCGUGUGGCAGACGUCUAUGGGACAAUGAGAUUCUACUAAACUACAGUGUUUUCCACAGAGGAAUCGUGAUUCAGAAGGAAGAAAGAACCGUAAGUGACCUUGUUUUACAUUUCUACUCACUUUGAGACCUCCUCUCGGCUUCCUUCCUGGCAAAGGCCUUCAGAGGGAACCAAGAGCCUACUUUGCCUUUUCCCACAGGCCAGUUAAACACCAUUAUGGCUGCUUGUGUUUAACCGCCAUCGCACAAACAGCCUUGAGGAGAAUUCAACAGCCUACUCAGAGGACCAUCACCUGAAGUUCCAACUGUGGGGGGGAGGUUACCUUCGACGUGUUGACUGGUCCGAAGCCUAGACGGCUUCCAGUGAAAUGGGGAGUGACCACUCGGGGACGAUGGUGACCUUCUCUCCGUGUGGCAGACGUCUAUGGGACAAUGAGAUUCUACUAAACUACAGUGUUUUCCACAGAGGAAUCGUGAUUCAGAAGGAAGAAAGAACCGUAAGUGACCUUGUUUUACAUUUCUACUCACUUUGAGACCUCCUCUCGGCUUCCUUCCUGGCAAAGGCCUUCAGAGGGAACCAAGAGCCUACUUUGCCUUUUCCCACAGGCCAGUUAAACACCAUUAUGGCUGCUUGUGUUUAACCGCCAUCGCACAAACAGCCUUGAGGAGAAUUCAACAGCCUACUCAGAGGACCAUCACCUGAAGUUCCAACUGUGGGGGGGAGGUUACCUUCGACGUGUUGACUGGUCCGAAGCCUAGACGGCUUCCAGUGAAAUGGGGAGUGACCACUCGGGGACGAUGGUGACCUUCUCUCCGUGUGGCAGACGUCUAUGGGACAAUGAGAUUCUACUAAACUACAGUGUUUUCCACAGAGGAAUCGUGAUUCAGAAGGAAGAAAGAACCGUAAGUGACCUUGUUUUACAUUUCUACUCACUUUGAGACCUCCUCUCGGCUUCCUUCCUGGCAAAGGCCUUCAGAGGGAACCAAGAGCCUACUUUGCCUUUUCCCACAGGCCAGUUAAACACCAUUAUGGCUGCUUGUGUUUAACCGCCAUCGCACAAACAGCCUUGAGGAGAAUUCAACAGCCUACUCAGAGGACCAUCACCUGAAGUUCCAACUGUGGGGGGGAGGUUACCUUCGACGUGUUGACUGGUCCGAAGCCUAGACGGCUUCCAAUGAAAUGCCCAACGACCACUCGGGGACGAUGGAGACGUUCUCUCCAUGUGGCCAACAUCUACGGGACGAUGAGAUUCUACUAAACUGCAGUGUUCCCCACAGAGGAGUCGUGACUCAGAAGGAAGCCAAAACCCACUCUUCUUGGCUUAUUUCCUGGAAAAGGCCUUCAGAAGAAACCAAGACUCUAUUUCAUCUUUUCUCACAGGCCAGUUAUAUACCGUUUUGGCUGCUUGUGUUUAACCGCCAUCGCACAAACAGCCUUGAGGAGAAUUCAACAGCCUACUCAGAGGUGAGGUUUAUUAUUAUCGGAAGUUGUUAUUGGCCGAGUCAUGGUGACUCCAAUACACACGUUGUUUUCCUUUGACACUCCUGUGAACACUUUCCUCGGUGAGGAUAGGAACACCAUUGUUUCCAUGUGAUUUAGAAACAAGGACAUGGUUUUUCCCAUGGGUAAUCCAUUUCCCCACCCCACACUUCGUGUUCUUAUUCUCCUCAGGAAAUUGGAAUCAGUAUAAAUCUCCAUAUUGGAGAUAGCAAGGGUGUACCGCCUGUAUUAGCAUGUGAGCAAUCCCCAAAUACUUACUGUUUCUGUCCCGUCUGGAGGCCACCUGCAAUGAGAGAAAACACUGUUGCAUCACAUUAUGUGUGUACUGUGUCCUUGGUGGUUUGGCAACUAUUGCAAACGAAAUGAGAAACAGUAGUAAGUCAAAGGCCCCCAAAACAAGCAUAGAGUCCUCCAAUGGGAAAGGGCAUGAGCUUUUCCUGGAGAAUGUAUCUGUCAAGUCCAUCGAGGGAGCAAUUGCAAAACUCUUAAUCCAUGGAGAAAAAAAAUGUUUUUUGAGUAAAAGGGUCCCUACUGUACAGUUCACAUCCUCGCCUUCCACCACACCAAGAAAAUAGUAUCUCACAUCUAGAAUGUACACUGUCAUUUUUUCAUAUCUGAACUCAACUCAAAAAGAGAGGAACCAAGAAAACAACAUUUCUCUCUUAGGCAAAGACAGGCAAGCUUACCUUGGAAGUAAAUGGAGACUUUCCCUCUGCCCCGUCUGCAGAAAGCUCCUCAUCCAGGCUCUCAGGGAGAUCUAGGACCCAGAGAAAAUGUCAGCCCAUUGGUGGUGCUGCUCAGGAAUUACUUGGGGAUCUUUAGUGAUACAGACAUGGGGAGAGAGUGUAUGGCAGUCAUCUGCCGUUGGGCCACCUUCCUUGGCGCACAACAGGAAGUCAGCCUAUAACAACUCUAUUUGUAACCACCAAAACUAGGAGCAACCAAGCUGUCCUUCAACAGGUGACUGGAUAAACAGAGUGAUACAUCCAUACGAUGACUCAUUAUUCUGUAGUAAAUAUAACUGAGCUACCAAGCCACACACACACACACACACACAAAGACAAGGAUGAACGUUAAGUAGAGAUAAGUGAGAAAGUCAGUGUGGUGAAAAAGUCCAUAAUGAUUCCAACUAUUUGACAUUCUGGAGAAAGAAAAACUAUGGAGAUGAUGGAAAAGAUCAAUGGUUGCUAGGAUUUUAUAGAGAAAGGGAAGAGGAUGAGUAGGUGAAACUGGAUUUAUGAAUGAUAACCUUGCUGGGUAGAGGAUUCUUGGUUGUAGGUUCUUCCCUUUUAAUUCAUUGAAUAUUUCAUGCCUCUCCUUUCUGGCCUGUAGAGUUUCUGCUUUGAAAUCUGCUUAUAGCCUUCUGGAGUUUCCCAUCUAGGUAACUAUCUGCCUGUAAGAUUCCCUCUUUAUCUUUAAUCUUUGCCAUUUUAAUUACUGUACGUCUUGGUGUUUUCUUCCUGGGGUUCAUCUUGUUAGGGGCUCUCU